CUGACAUGGAUCAAGCAGAAAUUGCCAAGGCCCACACGGUAAGAAAACUGGCCAAGUGCUUCGAUGAAUGGCAUAGAUUCAAUGUCCCCUAUAGUUCCACCUAAUUCAAUGACACAAACAUCAGCUGGACCUUCUUUUCCAUCGACCGGUACCAUUGCUACACGCUCUAUCCAUUCUUGGAUGGCAUUAGUAAUGUGCGGAACUACCUGCACAGUCUUUCCAAGAUAAUCUCCUUUUCUCUCUUUAUCAAUUACAGACUGAUAUAUUUUUCCAGUUGUGAUAUUGUUGUCACGGGUUAGCUUGAUAUCUAGAAACCGCUCAUAAUUGCCAAGGUCCAAAUCUACCUCACCACCAUCGUCUAAUACAAAGACCUCCCCAUGCUCAAAAGNNNNNNNNNUGCAUCGGUAUUUAGGUAAGGGUCAAUCUUGAUAGAAGUUACACGGAGGCCACAAGCUUUAAGGAGUAAACCAAUACUACUAGCAGUAACCCCUUUGCCAAGUCCACUAAC
rnacentral:misc_RNA from 1 species